ensembl:lncRNA
GUUUUGUUCAAAGAACUGGCUCAGGAGCCUUCAUUCUGUUUUUUGAGCUUCUGCCUUAAAGAAGAAAUUUCUGUUUUACAUCUCAGUCAUCUUAAAUCAAAACAGAUAAUGCAUUUAGUCAGAAGCGUCAAAUACCCUUCAGGGGCAUUUAGCCUGGAAUCCAUCUGUCAAUGAGUUUUUAAUCUAUAUCCGACACAUGACUAGGGGGUGAAGACCCCUCUAGGGGAGACGUGGUGUCUCCUGCUGACAGCCACCCUAAGUUCUGUCCAUCUUCCCAAAGGGGACAGGGUGUCUCAUGUCUGUGGGGAACCCCAGCUCCCCGUGAGCCUGAGGGAACCAGGGAAGCCUGUCACAAGGGUGGAAGUGCAGACUCAGUGCUAUUUGGAGGAGCGGGUCCGAGAAAGCCUCAGCAAGGUGGUGUCUACACGGGAAGGAGAAUGUUUUCUCAACUCGCCGAUUUAUUUCUGAAUGUGAGGGUGGAGAACAGAGCAUGCACCAAACGGAACGUUGUCCACAGAUUAGGGUCUCGUAGAUCCUAAUCGCGCUCCUGGAGAGCCUGUCCUUUUCCUGACUGCCCCUCAGGGUAAGCUUUGUCCUUGCAGGGUAGAACCUCACGGAUUCCCUGAAACGAAGGGGAACCAUGUGAUGCUGCCUGAGUCCUUUAGGAAAUGCUUGGAGCCACAGCGGUGGCUUCCUGGGAUUACCAGGAAAGUGAAAUGUGGAAACUGUUCGCUGAAACGUGAUUGUUGAGCAAAGUGUUGGCAAAGGAACAGAUGAAGUGGCUUUGAUCAUUAAUACAUCAUCCUUUUCACUCAUUUUUCAAUCGCGUAAUUGUUUUGCUUUGUGUUGGCUGAUUUAUAAGAUUUAUUUAAAUUCAUCUACUUUGAUGUUCUUCAUAUGAUGAGAAUUAAGAUGCAUUUUCAUAAAACCACUGCCUCGAAUCCCAUUCAAACCACUGGUAACCAAUUUAGUGACAUCUCAGAACAUCUUCAGAAUAACUGUGCCCAUAUGCAAAUAUUCAUCAUAGGAGAUUAUGCACAAAGGCCAUUUUAAACACUACAGUUGGUUGUUGCUUUAUAGGUACAACAAAUAGAAAUUUUUAAUGAACACUUAAGAGGUUGUACUUUGCUUUCCCUUUUCAUUAGCAAAUAGCAUGUCCUUGUAAAGCCUUUUCUGUGGGAAGGACUAUAGCUUAUUUACUGUCCUUUGAAUGGAGAAGAUGAAAAAAGUAAAAACGCAUCUGACAACCUAUGACCUAGAAGCUGUGUGUUGACACGCAGACACAUUAUUCUGCAUCCCUAAUUCGCUUCUAAAUACUUCAUACUGGCUUUACGAUUUCCAGACUCAAUCAAAAAUAGCUCUUACACUUGGUUUUAGGAGAGCACAGUUGCAGUUUUGUGUAAUCUUGACAUCACAAAAGUAGUUUUGUUUUCUAAAGAGAUUUUCCUACAAGGAAUCCUUGAUGGAGAGUGAGUCCACCGUGACACCGUCCCGGCGUGCCCCCGGAGCGCCCCGGCGUGCCCCCAGAGCACCCAGGUGUGCCCCUGGAGCCUCCUGGCGUGCCCCCCGAGCGCCCUGGUGUGCCCCCCC